UAGGGAAUCUUCCACAAUGGACGCAAGUCUGAUGGAGCAACGCCGCGUGAGUGAAGAAGGUCUUCGGAUCGUAAAGCUCUGUUGUUGGUGAAGAAGGAUAGAGGCAGUAACUGGUCUUUAUUUAACGGUAAUCAACCAGAAAGUCACGGCUAACUACGUGCCAGCAGCCGCGGUAAUACGUAGGUGGCAAGCGUUGUCCGGAUUUAUUGGGCGUAAAGCGAGCGCAGGUGGAAUGAUAAGUCUGAUGUGAAAGCCCACGGCUCAACCGUGGAACUGCAUCGGAAACUGUCAUUCUUGAGUGCAGAAGAGGAGAGUGGAACUCCAUGUGUAGCGGUGGAAUGCGUAGAUAUAUGGAAGAACACCAGUGGCGAAGGCGGCUCUCUGGUCUGCAAACUGACGCUGAGGCUCGAAAGCAUGGGUAGCGAACAGGAUUAGAUACCCUGGUAGUCCAUGCCGUAAACGAUGAGCGCUAG
rnacentral:rRNA from 1 species